CUUUCUUCUCUCCCCACAGGGGACAGGCAGGAGUUGAAGUGGAUCCAGGUCCGGGCCGGGGACUGUCCCAGGAGGAGCUGGGGGGCUGGGAUGCUGCGGGGCCCCCCCCACCGCUGGGUGGCGACAUGGAGACAGGACAGAGUGCCCCCCGAGAGAAGGAAACACAGCACAGGAGGCAACGCUGAUGACGUCACCACCUCGGUGCUCGACCCUGAAGGGACCCAAGUGUCUGAGGAAGAGGGCUGGGCGACCCCCCAGAGCACCUCAUCUUCGGAAACCUGGCAAUCCUCCUCCCCCGACCGCCCCCACGUGGACAGCUCUGGCUGCGGGGUUCCUUGCUCCCCUGGCCCUGCGGACCCAGGCAUCCGGGCGGGGCUCACCGAGCCCUGCACCAGGCCUGAGUGCGAGAGGAUGCGGCAAGAGCUGGAGGCGCUGAGGGACCGAUACGCCAAGGUGGAGGCUCAGAACGCUGUGCUGGCCCAGAAACUCGGGGGCGAUGUGGAGCCGCCCAGGGAGACAGAGAGUGAGUCCAUGCGGCCGGAGCCUGGGCUUUAUGAGGACCCUGCACUACCUCGGAAAUAUGGGAUGCAGGAGCUGGUGCCGGGAGGGGGCGUGUUCCUCUACCCCGCCCAGCUGGCCCUGGCCCGCUCCAGCGCCCGCAGCCAGACAGCCCUGGCCCGUCUCCUGCUCGACGUCUUCUUCUCCCGCCAGGAGCAGGCACGGAGCAACCUGUCCGGGGAGAACGGGCUGCGCCGCCUCAGCCCCCCCGUCGUCAGCGCCAUCGUGGGUGAGUCCGGGGCGGUCAGGCAAUGGUAUGGCCCUGGGAGGCGGGGACAGGCAAUAGU
rnacentral:lncRNA from 1 species